rnacentral:lncRNA from 1 species
UUUCUGAUUUCCUUUGUGUCCGACCAUACUUGUAACUAAUAUAUACAACCAUAGAUGCAUAAAGCCAUUGGCUUUCAACACAAACGAUUGCGUCACAUUGAUAAACGUUUUUGUUGAACAAAACUUCUUGUCGUAUAGUAACUAUACGACAAGACAUAUGCUGAUAGUGUAUGUACGCAUUUUAUCAAAAAACAAAUUUACGCCUUUCACUACUUUACACUAAAUAAAAAAGCGCGGUCCUGUUCGUUUGCAACUAGUAGUGAGUUUGUUGAUUGAUCAUAAUGUAAUGCAUAUGGAUAAAAUAGACCUUCGUUGGACGAUAAUAUUUGUCUAUGACGUUUACCGUCAUGUGAUAUAACCACAACAGUGUUGGAUUUGGCUCCCACAACAUACACAUUUCCAUACUUGUCUACGGAGAUACCUUGAGGGCAUUUUAAAACGUUUUCCUCUUUGAAUU